rnacentral:misc_RNA from 1 species
CUAUCUUUGAGAUUAAAAAAAAAAAAAAACAUCCUCUAUUCUGCAUCCCAUUCAAUGAGUUGGUGGUGGGCAGGAGCCAUAGGAGCAGCAAAGAAAAAAUUCGAAGAAGAUGAUGUACCCCGCAAGUACCAGAGUGUGGCCCUUAUUAUUGGAGUUACCGGCAUCGUUGGCAAUAGUCUGGCUGAGAUCUUGCCAUUUGCAGACACCCCAGGUGGCCCUUGGAAGGUCUACGGUGUGGCUCGCCGCCCUCGGCCAAUCUGGCAGGCUGAUCAUCUCAUUGAAUACAUCCAGUGCGAUGUCUUUAACGAACAAGAAACCCUUGAGAAGCUCUCCGUUCUCACCGAUGUAACCCAUAUCUUUUAUGUUACUUGGGCAAGCAAACCCACAGAAGCCGAGAAUUGCUUCGUGAAUGGCUCCAUGCUAAGAAAUGUUCUCAAUACAAUGAUUCCAAAUGCAGCAAACUUGCAGCACAUUUGCUUGCAAACAGGACGCAAGCAUUAUUUAGGUUCUUUCGAGUCUAUGGGCAAGAUUCAACCUCAUGAAUCUCCAUUCCAUGAGGAUCUCCCAAGGCUUAAUGCAAUCAACUUUUAUCAUACACUUGAAGACCUAUUGUUUGAUCAAGUGGGAAAGAAGGAAGGCUUGACAUGGUCAGUUCAUAGACCUGGAUUGAUAUUUGGUUUCUCACCUUCAAGCUUGAUGAAUGUGGUUGGGACUUUAUGUGUAUAUGCAACGAUUUGCAAGCAUCAGGGGCUUCCAUUAAUCUUUCCUGGGGAUCGAGUUGCAUGGGAUGGGUAUUGGGAUGCAUCAGAUGCAGAUUUGGUUGCGGAGCAUCAGAUAUGGGCAGCAGUGGAUCCUAAUGCAAAGAAUGAAGCUUUCAAUUGCAGUAAUGGGGAUGUGUUCAAGUGGAAGCAUUUGUGGAAUUCGUUGGCAGAGCAGUUUGAGAUUGAGAAUUAUGGGAUUGAAGAGGAGGGUGACAAGAGAUUGAGCUUGGUUGAGAUGAUGAAAGACAUGGGGCCGGUAUGGGAUGAGAUUGUGAGGGAGAAGGAGUUGGUGCCUACAAGAUUGGAGGAAGUUGCAGCUUGGUGGAUUGUGGAUCUGUGUUUUCAAGGAGCUUCAUUCUUGGAUACUAUGAACAAGAGCAAAGAACAUGGAUUUGUGGGGUUUAGAAACACGAAAAAUUCUUUUAUAUAUUGGAUUGAUAAAAUGAAAGCUCACAAAAUAGUUCCUUGAUUUGAGGGUUGCUUGGAGUUACUUUUGGUAAGCAUCCUGAACCAUAUUCCAACUUGAUAUUAUUUGGCUAGUAAUUGUUGUUGUUGUUGUUC